rnacentral:rRNA from 1 species
GACGAACGCUGGCGGCGUGCCUAAUACAUGCAAGUAGAACGCUGAAGCGAGGAGCUUGCUCUUCUUGGAUGAGUUGCGAACGGGUGAGUAACGCGUAGGUAACCUGCCUUGUAGCGGGGGAUAACUAUUGGAAACGAUAGCUAAUACCGCAUAACAAUGGAUGACACAUGUCAUUUAUUUGAAAGGGGCAAUUGCUCCACUACAAGAUGGACCUGCGUUGUAUUAGCUAGUAGGUGAGGUAAUGGCUCACCUAGGCGACGAUACAUAGCCGACCUGAGAGGGUGAUCGGCCACACUGGGACUGAGACACGGCCCAGACUCCUACGGGAGGCAGCAGUAGGGAAUCUUCGGCAAUGGGGGCAACCCUGACCGAGCAACGCUGCGUGAGUGAAGAAGGUUUUCGGAUCGUAAAGCUCUGUUGUAAGUCAAGAACGGGUGUGAGAGUGGAAAGUUCACACUGUGACGGUAGCUUACCAGAAAGGGACGGCUAACUACGUG